GACACGUCUGCUCUUCUUGACGAAACGUUUUAUGGAAUUGGAGCCUAAGCUCCGCCAACUUCGAUUUCGCCACACGAAUGUACCGGAGGCUGACAAAUUCAUUACGGCGGUGCCCUUACUCUAGACGUACAUGACCAGAAUUCAGGGACACGCCACAGAAAGCCGGCUUCGCGGGAUAGCAGACAACCAUGCAAGAAAGCCGACUUGACAGAUUUGCACGAGGAUAUGGGAGGAGGAAAAGUUCGGGGAGGGACGAGGAGUACAGAUAAGAAAGAGAAUUUUUAACGUCAUCUGCACGGCAAUAACACUGUGGGCACGCGGGGCGCGCACGAGAGCUCGUGCUCAGGUAAAAAAAAAAAAAAAAAAACGCAACGCGUGGCUCAGAAUUGAAAUAUGCAUCAAGCCUUUUCUGUUGGUUGAAUGUCG